rnacentral:lncRNA from 1 species
GAAAAAAGCCUGAUAUGAAAAACUGAAGCAGAAAAAAAUCCACAUAUAGUCCACUGAAAAAACUCUCAUGGACUUCUGGAGAUUUUAUUAGAAGAAACACUUUAAUAGUUCCCUCAGGUAACUGAUAGUCAUUGUUCAACAUAAACAAGUGAUGAGCUUUGGAUGCUACAAGCUGUAGUGAAGUGCUGGACGUGAUAAACCAAUUUCUGUUUCUUUUGAUGCAAAUCUUCUGUUUUUCUAUGGUUAAAGAAGUAAGGACAGCCGUCUCUCCAAGGCAUGAAACUUCUGGAAACCAUCUUGUUGCAUUAAGGAGUCUCAACUUAUUCCCUCAGCUGCUGCAUAAUUCCAUCAUCUCUUUUGAGUUCUUUUAAUCUUCUUUUUCUAUUAUUUUUUUUCCCAAAUUAUUUCCCCAAAAUUUCCAUUUUUUUCAAAAAAAAUCAUUUUUUUUUUCAAAAAUAAUACUUGGUACCAAUAAAUUAUACAGAUCUUUUAUGUAUAUUAUCUAU